AACUUGGCAGGGCGGUCUCUUGCCUGGCGCUUGGCGUUCGCCUGUCCUUGCCAGCCGUCUCCUGCCAACCCCAGCUCCUCCCGGCCCGGUAGGGUGGGCCUCCCUCAGGUCACUUUGAUUGCCGCCUGUGGCCGCUGGCAGAUGCCAGGGAGACCCCCAGCCUCUCCACGCCGCUCUCAGAAGCAGGCUCUGAACGUCACUCCCGCCUCUGUGGGCGGGGCACUGGCCUCCCUCCCCGGCGGCACACUUGGGGAAGGGGUCCCUCUGGCUUCCACGGUGCUUCGAGUCAGUUCCUGGCGCAUUUGCCCUGAGUUAGGAAGGCAUCGAAGAGAGCCCCAGCGCUGGACCCUUUUCUCUUCCUGAGCCCCUUGAGGCCCGUACAUGAUUCAUUCUUUCCCAGAAUAAUUUCGUAACUGCGUUAGGCAUCAGCUCCAUCCUUGUCCUCAAGGAGCGCACAGUCAGGUAGCAAAGAUAGACAUGUAAUCAAGUAACGACACAGUGUGAUGAAUGCAACAAAAUGAAUCAUUGUGAGGUUAAAUGUAAAAAGGUAACAUUAAAGGUGGGGGUUGGGCAGCGGGAGGAUGCAUGAAGGGCUUCCUGAGGUAAGCGUGGUGGGAACUGGGUUUUCAAAGACCCAGGGAAAUCGCUCAAGUGAAUUUCGGGUGGAAAGAACGUCAAUUGCCCCUGACCUGAAUGAGUGACACAAUGGAAGAUAAGCUUAACAGGUAAACUGAUGACAAUAAAGGUUUUAAGAUGGGCUAAGCUGCACUCUUGCCCUUUGGGCCACUGGGUUCAUCUGCAGGGUUUUAAGAGGUGAGCAGUUUCAGAUAUUAUUUUGCUUUUGUGGCUUUCUUAAUUUAAUUUCCAGUAUGUAAUGCAAGUACUUGGAACAACGUUCAAGUUAUAAAAGGGUAUAUACAGUAAUGAGCCUUUCUGUUCUUUCUGGUGGCAACCAUUGUUCUCCAUUUCUUGUGUAAUCUUUUCAGAGUCUGGAAAUAAGUCUUCGAAGAGAUAUUCUAUAGCCCCGUUACUCAAAGUUUGUACCUGAUCAGCAGCAACACCUGGGAAGCUUGUUAGAAAUGCAGAAUCUGCAGAAUGUCAGGCCCUAUCCCAGAUCUGUUGAAUUAGAACCUGCCUUUAAACAAGAUCCUCAUAUAACUCUACAUGAAAAUGUCAGUAGAUUGAGUAAAUCUGCAGAUUACUCUCCAGAAUGUGGAUGGGUCUCAUCCAAUCAGUUGAAAGCCGUAAGAAAACCCAGUGAGGAAAAGGAAUUCUGCCUCCUGACUGCACUUGGAUGCUGUAACACCAGCUCUUUCCUGGGUCUCCAGCCUGCUGGCCCUCCCUGCAGACUUUGGACUUGCUGGCUCCCACAGUCAUGUGAGCCAAUCCUUAAAAUAAAUCUCUUUGUGUAUAUAUACA